rnacentral:lncRNA from 1 species
GGGGCACCGAGUGUGGGACCCACCAGGAUCUUCUGCAGGGAGGGAUGCCGGGGAGGUGGUUCCCAAAGGAAAGGAUGCUGGGGUGACAGACACCUAUGUCUCCUCUCUUGCGAGCCUUCUCUAACAUUCCCUGAAGAGUCAAGUGCUUCCUCCUAAGGGCUUCCAGAAGUCCUCAUUAAUAUCUCUCUCCCAGCUUGGGUUACUUUACUGUGUUUUUUGGAUUAUAUGUCUUCUCAUCCAUCGGAUGGUGACUGUGAACUGGCUGCCUCCCUGGACUGAAGGUGACAGCUCCUGCCAGACAGUUCUCUCUACAUGGCUUUGGGUUCUGGAAACAGCUCCCUUCACUCGCCCCUCCCAACCCUGCUCUGCUCUUCACAGCCCAGGGACUCAACACAGAGCCUUCCACACCACGGGCACUGAAUGCAUCCAGGAAUUAAGGACUGAUUAAGCAUCAGCUGGUUAGAGGAGUGUUGAGCCCUAUAUGGAAAAUGGACCAGCGGAGUAGCUUUCAAAUCUUUUUGGUUUGGCCUAAUUUGGAGGAGGGAGUGGCUCAGAGCUCUUAAAACACGCUGACGUGAUGUGAGCAGUUUUAAGCAUCGGAUUCAAAAAGUCAGUGUCGGGGACCACAAGUCUGAGUGCUCCAGAGCAGGUCUGAAGUGGAAAGCUAAUCUUAUGUGCUUGCCUAAGGGUCCCCGGGUCUCUCCUCUGUGUCCUUGCUGCCACCAGCAGCUCCUUCUCCUCCUAGCAAAAGCAUUUCUUGGUGCCCUGGUUAUAUGUAGAACUCGACCAAGAGGACAACACGGGCCUAUCAGUGUCACCAGGGCCAUGCAAUCCAUUUGCGAUUAGAUAUUGUCUCACUGUUUCAAACUCAGCCCAGGUCUGUGGUCCUCCCCACCUCAAACACUGUAUGAUUCCAUUUUAAAAACUGAGUUCUAUGUUCUCUAAAAUUGACUCUCCGCUCCUAAUUCACCACUUGUCAUUCUCCUGGUAUCUGUCAAGUCAAGUUAGAAGGGUAGAAGAUGGUAACAGGCAUUAUUUCAUGGUGAUUCAGAAUCAAAUCCUUAAAGCUGGCCUUCAGCCAGACAUCACCUCCUUGCAAGGUUCUUGAGGGGGAGAAAUGUGGAAAAGACAAGCCCAGGUGGGUGGGCAUGCGACGAGACGGGGCUCGCAGAGCAGGCUUGGCGAGCCCUGCAGGCUGUCAUUCACUUAUUUAUUUGUCAUCAUUCUUUCAAAAAAUUCCUAUCAACGCUCACGAGAUGCCAGGUAUGGGGGAGAGAACAGUGAGUAAAACGGCGUCCCUAUCCUGGGGAAGCUCAUGUUCUGGGGAGGGAAUCAGAAAAGAGACAAAUAAAUAAAUCUAUAGAUACUACCAUAGGAGAUGGCGGUAAGUGCUGUGCAGAAAGUACGUCCAGCUAAGAAGUGUGUCAGACAGUGUGUGUGUGUGUGUGUGUGUGUGUGUGCACGUGGGACACAUUGUGUACAUGGGAACAUUAUUUUAGUUAGUGGUGUCAGUGUGGGCUCUUUGAGGAAGUGACAUUUGAGGAGAAAGCCGAGUGGAUUUGAGCCAAGGAAAUAUCUGGGGGAAAAGCAUCUGGUGAGAGGAUGACACACGAAGGCCUUGAGACCACGAAGAAGAGUCCUUAUGCCCAGGGGAGAGGCAGGCCUGGGGCCUCGAACCACAGCAGGCUGAGCAGCAUCCUCCGCACUUCUCCACCCCAGCCUGUGCCAAACAUUGACCACCUUUUUGACACAAAGACUGAAUGAUUUUUAAAAUUAUUUUUAAUUGCGGUAAAAUAUACAUAAUAAAAGUUACCAGCUUAACCAUUUUUAAGUGCAUAGUUCAGUGGCAUUAAGUACAUUCACAAUGACGUCAACCACCAUCACCAUCCAUCCACAGAACUCUUUGCAUCUUGCAAAAUUGAAACUCUAUACCUAUUACACAAUAAUUCCCCACCCCGCCUUCUCCCAGCCCCUGGCAACCACCAUUCUCCUUUCUGUCUCCAGGAAUGAACUUG